rnacentral:rRNA from 1 species
UACAGAGGUCCCAAGCGUUGUUCGGAUUCAUUGGGCGUAAAGGGUGUGUAGGUGGCGCCGUAAGUCGGGUGUGAAAUCUCGGGGCUUAAACUCCGAAACUGCAUUCGAUACUGCGGUGCUUGAGGACUGGAGAGGAGACUGGAAUUCAUGGUGUAGCAGUGAAAAUGCGUAGAGAUGUGGAGGAACACCGAUGGCGAAGGCAGCCCCCUGGGUCAAGAUUGACGCUCAU